rnacentral:rRNA from 1 species
AGUAUCUUCGGAUAUGAGUAUAGCGGCGGACGGGUGAGUAACGCGUAGGAAUCUACCUAGUAGAAGGGGAUAGCCCGGGGAAACUCGGAUUAAUACCGUAUACCUCCUAAGGGAGAAAGAGGGCCUCUCUUGAUGCUCUCGCUAUUAGAUGAGCCUGCGUAAGAUUAGCUUGUUGGUAAGGUAAUGGCUUACCAAGGCUACGAUCUUUAGCUGGUCUGAGAGGACGAUCAGCCACAUUGGGACUGAGACACGGCCCAGACUCCUACGGGAGGCAGCAGUGGGGAAUAUUGGACAAUGGGCGCAAGCCUGAUCCAGCCAUACCGCGUGUGUGAAGAAGGCCUUCGGGUUGUAAAGCACUUUAAGCAGGGAGAAAAAGUUAUAAGUUAAUACCUUAUAACCGUGAUGUUACCUGCAGAAUAAGCACCGGCUAAUUCCGUGCCAGCAGCCGCGGUAAUACGGAAGGUGCAAGCGUUAAUCGGAAUUACUGGGCGUAAAGCGCGCGUAGGUGGUUUGUUAAGUUGGAUGUGAAAGCCCUGGGCUCAACCUAGGAACUGCAUCCAAAACUAACUCACUAGAGUACGAUAGAGGGAGGUAGAAUUCAUAGUGUAGCGGUGGAAUGCGUAGAUAUUAUGAAGAAUACCAGUGGCGAAGGCGGCCUCCUGGAUCUGUACUGACACUGAGGUGCGAAAGCGUGGGUAGCGAACAGGAUUAGAUACCCUGGUAGUCCACGCCGUAAACGAUGACAACUAGCUGUUGGGAGACAAUGUCUUUCAGUGGCGCAGCUAAC